UACAGAGGGGGCAAGCGUUGUCCGGAAUCAUUGGGCGUAAAGCGCGUGUAGGCGGUUCGGUAAGUCUGCUGUGAAAGUCCAGGGCUCAACCCUGGGAUGCCGGUGGAUACUGUCGAACUAGAGUACGGAAGAGGCGAGUGGAAUUCCCGGUGUAGCGGUGAAAUGCGCAGAUAUCGGGAGGAACACCAAUUGCGAAGGCAGCUCGCUGGGACGUCACUGACGCUGAGACGCGAAAGCGUGGGGAGCAAACAGGG
rnacentral:rRNA from 1 species